CGCAAGCCUGACGGAGCAACGCCGCGUGAGGGAGGAAGGCCUGUGGGUUGUAAACCUCUUUUCUCAGGGAAGAAGAUCUGACGGUACCUGAGGAAUCAGCAUCGGCUAACUCCGUGCCAGCAGCCGCGGUAAGACGGAGGAUGCAAGCGUUAUCCGGAAUUAUUGGGCGUAAAGCGUCCGUAGGCGGCUGUUCAAGUCUGCUGUCAAAGCCCACAGCUCAACUGUGGAGAGGCAGUGGAAACUGAAUAGCUAGAGUGUGGUAGGGGCAGAGGGAAUUCCUGGUGUAGCGGUGAAAUGCGUAGAUAUCAGGAAGAACACCAGUGGCGAAGGCGCUCUGCUGGGCCAUAACUGACGCUGAUGGACGAAAGCUAGGGGAGCG
rnacentral:rRNA from 2 species